rnacentral:miRNA from 2 species
UUCCUAAUGCCUCCCAUUCCUA